AGAGUUUGAUCCUGGCUCAGGACGAACGCUGGCGGCGUGCCUAAUACAUGCAAGUAGAACGCUGAAGACUUUAGCUUGCUAGAGUUGGAAGAGUUGCGAACGGGGUGAGUAACGCGUAGGUAACCUGCCUACUAGCGGGGGAUAACUAUUGGAAACGAUAGCUAAUACCGCAUAACAGUGUUUAACACAUGUUAGAUGCUUGAAAGAUGCAAUUCGCAUCACUAGUAGAUGGACCUGCGUUGUAUUAGCUAGUUGGUGGGGUAACGGCCUACCAAGGCGACGAUACAUAGCCGACCUGAGAGGGUGAUCGGCCACACUGGGACUGAGACACGGCCCAGACUCUACGGGAGGCAGCAGUAGGGAAUCUCUCGGCAAUGGGGGCAACCCUGACCGAGAACGCCGCGUGAGUGAAGAAGGUUUUCGGAUCGUAAAGCUCUGUUGUAAGAGAAGAACGUGUGUGAGAGUGGAAAGUUACACAGUGACGGUAACUUACCAGAAAGGGACGGCUAACUACGUGCCAGCAGCCGCGGUAAU
rnacentral:rRNA from 1 species